ACGGGAGGCAGCAGUGAGGAAUAUUGGUCAAUGGACGGAAGUCUGAACCAGCCAAGUCGCGUGCGGGAUGAAGGCCCUACGGGUCGUAAACCGCUUUUGUACGGGGAUAAAGUCACCCACGUGUGGGUGUUUGUAGGUACCGUAAGAAUAAGGAUCGGCUAAUUCCGUGCCAGCAGCCGCGGUAAUACGGAAGAUCCGAGCGUUAUCCGGAUUUAUUGGGUUUAAAGGGAGCGUAGGCGGGCCUUUAAGUCAGUGGUCAAAGCGUGUGGCUCAACCAUACCACGCCGUUGAUACUGGAGGCCUUGAGUGCACAUAAGGAUGGUGGAAUUCAUGGUGUAGCGGUGAAAUGCUUAGAUAUCAUGAAGAACUCCGAUUGCGAAGGCAGCUGUCCGGGGUGUAACUGACGCUAAUGCUCGAAAGUGCGGGUAUCAAACAGGAUUAGAUACCCUGGUA
rnacentral:rRNA from 1 species